rnacentral:rRNA from 1 species
AGGGAAUCUUCGGCAAUGGACGGAAGUCUGACCGAGCAACGUCGCGUGAGUGAAGAAGGUUUUCGGAUCGUAAAGCUCUGUUGUAAGAGAAGAACGAGUGUGAGAGUGGAAAGUUCACACUGUGACGGUAUCUUACCAGAAAGGGACGGCUAACUACGUGCCAGCAGCCGCGGUAAUACGUAGGUCCCGAGCGUUGUCCGGAUUUAUUGGGCGUAAAGCGAGCGCAGGCGGUUAGAUAAGUCUGAAGUUAAAGGCUGUGGCUUAACCAUAGUACGCUUUGGAAACUGUUUAACUUGAGUGCAAGAGGGGAGAGUGGAAUUCCAUGUGUAGCGGUGAAAUGCGUAGAUAUAUGGAGGAACACCGGUGGCGAAAGCGGCUCUCUGGCUUGUAACUGACGCUGAGGCUCGAAAGCGUGGGGAGCAAACAGGAUUAGAUACCCUGGUAGUCCACGCCGUAAACGAUGAGUGCUAGGUGUUAGACCCUUUCCGGGGUUUAGUGCCGUAGCUAACGCAUUAAGCACUCCGCCUGGGGAGUACGACCGCAAGGUUG